GCGCCGUUAGCUCAAUGGAUAGAGUCGCAGACUUCGAAUCUGUCGGUUGGGGGUUCGAGUCCCUCACGGCGUGCCA
rnacentral:tRNA from 1 species